rnacentral:rRNA from 1 species
UAGGGAAUCUUCCACAAUGGACGAAAGUCUGAUGGAGCAACGCCGCGUGAGUGAAGAGGGUUUUCGGAUCGUAAAGCUCUGUUGUUGGUGAAGAAGGAUAGAGGCAGUAACUGGUCUUUAUUUGACGGUAAUCAACCAGAAAGUCACGGCUAACUACGUGCCA